GACGAACGCUGGCGGCGUGCUUAACACAUGCAAGUCGAACGGAAAGGCCCUGCGUUUGUGGGGUGCUCGAGUGGCGAACGGGUGAGUAACACGUGAGUAACCUGCCCUUGACUUUGGGAUAACUUCAGGAAACUGGGGUUAAUACCGGAUAGGAGCCCCUGCUGCAUGGUGGGGGUUGGAAAGUUGCGGCGGGUGGGGAUGGACUCGCGGCUUAUCAGCUUGUUGGUGGGGUAGUGGCUUACCAAGGCUUUGACGGGUAGGCGGCCUGGGAGGGUGAACGGCCACAUUGGGACUGAGAGACGGCGCAGACUCCAACGGGGGGCAGCGGCGGGGAAUAUUGCCCAAUCGGCGGAAGCCUGAGGCAGCAGCGCCCGGUGCGGGAUGACGGCCUUCGGGUUGAGAACCGCUGUAGCCUGUGACGAAGCGUGAGUGACGGUAAUGAGUGAAGAAGCACCGGCUAACUACGUG
rnacentral:rRNA from 1 species